GCCCCCCGGCCCGGGAUAGCCCAGGGAAACCUGGAUUAAUACCGGAUGAGACGGGACCCGCGAAGGCGGGACCCGGGAAAGGCGCUGCGGCGCCGCCGGGGGAUGAGUCUGCGUCCCAUUAGCUAGACGGCGGGGUAACGGCCCACCGUGGCGACGAUGGGUAGCCGGCCUGAGAGGGUGGACGGCCACAUUGGAACUGAGACACGGUCCAGACUCCUACGGGAGGCAGCAGCUAAGAAUCUUCCGCAAUGGGCGAAGGCCUGACGGAGCGACGCCGCGUGAACGAAGAAGGCCGUGAGGUUGUAAAGUUCUUUUCGGGAGGGGGAACAACCGUGGCAGGGAAUGGCCGCGGGAUGACGUGAAUCCCGGAAUAAGCCCCGGCUAACUACGUGCCAGCAGCAGC
rnacentral:rRNA from 1 species